AUAUAUUGACCCAAUAAUUUGAUCAACGGAACAAGUUACCCUAGGGAUAACAGCACAAUCCUAUUCUAGAGUCCAUAUCAACAAUAGGGUUUACAACCUCGAUGUUGCAUCAGGACAUCCUAAUGGUGUAGCCGCUAUCAAGGGUUCGUUUGUUCAGUGAUUAAAGUCCUACGUGAUCUGAGUUCAGACCGGAGCAAUCCAGGUCGGUUUCUAU
rfam:Chlorocebus sabaeus isolate 1994-021 chromosome 7, whole genome shotgun sequence.